UCAGCAACGCCGCGUGAGUGAUGAAAGCGUCAUCCGGCCGUAAAGCUCUAUCGAAGCUGAAGAAUAUACAUCAUGGCUCUAUAAUGCAUAAUGAAUGACGGUACCCUCAGAAGAAGCACCGGCUAACUACGUGCCAGCAGCCGCGGUAAUACGUAGGGGUGCAAGCGUUGUUCGGAAUUAUUGGGCGUAAAGAGCGUGUAGGCGGCUGUUUAAGUCAGAUGUGAAAUAACCCGGCUUAACUCAGGAAGUGCAUUUGAUACUGUUUGUCUUGAGUGCGUGAGAGGAGAGUGGAAUUCCUGGUGUAGAGGUGAAAUUCGUAGAUAUCUGGAGGAACACCGGUGGCGAAGGCGGCUUUCUGGCCCGAUACUGACGCUCAGACGCGAAAGCGUGGGGAGCAAACAGGAUUAGAUACCCUGGUAGUCCACGCUGUAAACGAUGUACACUAGGUGUG
rnacentral:rRNA from 1 species